UCAUAAUCAGUGAAAACGAGUAGGGCGGGACACGUGAUAUCCUGUCUGAAUAUGGGGGGACCAUCCUCCAAGGCUAAAUACUACUGACUGACCGAUAGUGAACCAGUACCGUGAGGGAAAGGCGAAAAGAACCCCUGUGAGGGGAGUGAAAUAGAACCUGAAACCGUGUACGUACAAGCAGUAGGAGCACCUUCGUGGUGUGACUGCGUACCUUUUGUAUAAUGGGUCAGCGACUUAAUUUUAGUAGCAAGGUUAACCGUUUAGGGGAGCCGUAGGGAAACCGAGUCUUAACUGGGCGUACAGUUGCUAGGAUUAGACCCGAAACCAGGUGAUCUAGCCAUGGGCAGGUUGAAGGUUGAGUAACAUCAACUGGAGGACCGAACCGACUAAUGUUGAAAAAUUAGCGGAUGACUUGUGGCUAGGGGUGAAAGGCCAAUCAAACCUGGAGAUAGCUGGUUCUCCCCGAAAGCUAUUUAGGUAGCGCCUCGGACGAAUACUACUGGGGGUAGAGCACUGUUAAGGCUAGGGGGUCAUCCCGACUUACCAACCCUUUGCAAACUCCGAAUACCAGUAAGUACUAUCCGGGAGACACACGGCGGGUGCUAACGUCCGUCGUGGAGAGGGAAACAACCCAGACCGCCAGCUAAGGUCCCAAAGUAUAGCUAAGUGGGAAACGAUGUGGGAAGGCUCAGACAGCCAGGAUGUUGGCUUAGAAGCAGCCAUCAUUUAAAGAAAGCGUAAUAGCUCACUGGUCGAGUCGGCCUGCGCGGAAGAUGUAACGGGGCUAAGCUAUACACCGAAGCUGCGGCUACGUACCUUAGGGUAUGUGGGGUAGGGGAGCGUUCUGUAAGCCGUUGAAGGUGGUCUGUAAGGGCUGCUGGAGGUAUCAGAAGUGCGAAUGCUGACAUGAGUAACGAUAAAGGGAGUGAAAAACUCCCUCGCCGGAAGACCAAGGGUUCCUGUCCAACGUUAAUCGGGGCAGGGUAAGUCGACUCCUAAGGCGAGGCCGAAAGGCGUAGUCGAUGGGAAACGGGUUAAUAUUCCCGUACUUCUUACAAUUGCGAUGGGGGGACGGAGAAGGCUAGGUGGGCCUGGCGACGGUUGUCCAGGUUCAAGUA
rnacentral:rRNA from 1 species